ACUACGAAGGUUUUGGUGUUUUACACUCACGUGCAUGCAGCUUGUUCUCUCAAAAGAAAAUAAUAAUUGUCGAAGUCGAAAUAGUUGUCCGUGCCGGAUCGCUCUUCUUCUUCUUGUGCUUCACUGUGUGGAUGUCAUCGAUGGUCUCCAGCGACUUCUGGCAGCUAUUAGUGUGGGUGCCUCGUUUUUGUAAACUUCAGUUCUUGUUGGAGUACGAAGGACAGAGUCUGCACCGCCAUGAUCGACCUUGAAGAUGCCGAACUCCUAGUACAAGCUAUUCUCGUUCUCCUAAAGUACUUCGGGAUUGCACCACCGGUCACGAACAGGCAGAUCAAUGCGCUAGCGAGGCGCGUAUUUCCUGCAUUGGCAAAGAAUCGAGCAGCCCAGAAUGCAGUACUCUGGCUGAAAGAGCAGUGCGAAGAUGGCGUGGUACGAGUGGCAAGUGCUUGGGAAGUUGUACGACGCUUGCUGGAAAUCAACAAGCAUCUAUUCUGGUCUAUGGCGCUCGAACUGUGCAGUGGUCUCCAUCCGUCAGAAUGGUUAGAGAAAGCUCGUGUCGUGGUUGGACAAUUAGGUGCCAGAUCGCAAACUAGCGCGCAGCCCAGUGCCCGCAAUGACAAGCAGGCUUCGGCAGAAGGCUGCACUGGUACAGAAAAGGAAAGGUGCUUGAUUCUGCCGUAUUCUAAACUAUAAUACCGGUAAUUAUUCAAGCCAGUUGAGACAUAAAUUUUAAUCCACUCCCUAUAGACGUUGAUGAAAAAUUCCUUGAAUUGUUUUGAUUGUUUACGAUAAUUAUGGCACAUGUCAUGAUGUAAAUGUACCAGUGACAUGACCAUCUACAUGUACAGAGCCAUGCAUUCAAUCUUUUCCAAAUGUUCCACAUGUUUGCAUUUGAGAUCACAAUGACACCCCUCCGGAACUCUUCGUAGUCUCAAUCAUCAUAAGCCCUUAUUAACGCUGCAGGGGCACCUAAGACUAAGAGCAACAGCAAACAUGCAAUAUAGCACCAGUGAAUGCUAUCAUGGCCAGCUACUGACAACGAAGACCUAUCCACGCCGUCCAAGACAAAACAUCCAACUGAGACAGCCUCGGUCGAGCGAGCGUACAGCGUACAGCCACCUGGUACCUUCGUAGCGUUUGUACUGUGAGCUAAUCAUACCUUUUUCUUAUUUAUAUGAACGUAUGAAAUUGAACUUCAUUAUCCUGAUGAUGGGCCAGGCUUGGAAAUUUGGUGUAAUGUGAAUUUUAAUUUUAA